UGAGGAAUAUUGGUCAAUGGACGCAAGUCUGAACCAGCCAAGUAGCGUGCAGGAUGACGGCCCUAUGGGUUGUAAACUGCUUUUAUAUGGGGAUAAAGUGGGGAACGUGUUCCCUUUUGCAGGUACCAUAUGAAUAAGGACCGGCUAAUUCCGUGCCAGCAGCCGCGGUAAUACGGAAGGUUCGGGCGUUAUCCGGAUUUAUUGGGUUUAAAGGGAGCGUAGGCCGUUUGGUAAGCGUGUUGUGAAAUGUAGGAGCUCAACUUCUAGAUUGCAGCGCGAACUGUCAUACUUGAGUGCGCACAACGUAGGCGGAAUUCAUGGUGUAGCGGUGAAAUGCUUAGAUAUCAUGAAGAACUCCGAUUGCGAAGGCAGCUUACGGGAGCGCAACUGACGCUGAAGCUCGAAGGUGCGGGUAUCGAACAGG
rnacentral:rRNA from 1 species